UAACACAUGCAAGUCGAAGGAGAAGGGUGGUCUUCGGACUACCUGGAGACUGGCGCACGGGUGAGUAACGGGUAGACAACCUGCCUAUAACUGGGGGAUAACAUCGGGAAACCGGUGCUAAUACCGCAUAUUGUCACUGCCUCGCAUGAGGCGGUGAUGAAAAACUUCGGUUGGUUAUAGAUGGGUCUGCGUGCCAUUAGUUAGUUGGUGGGGUAAAAGCCUACCAAGGCGAUGAUGGCUAGGGGGUCUGAGAGGAUGAUCCCCCACACUGGAACUGAGACACGGUCCAGACUCCUACGGGAGGCAGCAGUGAGGAAUCUUGCGCAAUGUUCGCCCGCCGCGCCCCGCGCCC
rnacentral:rRNA from 1 species